AGUGAACGCUGGCGGUAGGCCUAACACAUGCAAGUCGAACGGCAGCACAGUAAGAGCUUGCUCUUACGGGUGGCGAGUGGCGGACGGGCGAGGAAUACAUCGGAAUCUACUUUUUCGUGGGGGAUAACGUAGGGAAACUUACGCUAAUACCGCAUACGACCUACGGGUGAAAGCAGGGGAUCUUCGGACCUUGCGCGAUUGAAUGAGCCGAUGUCGGAUUAGCUAGUUGGCGGGGUAAAGGCCCACCAAGGCGACGAUCCGUAGCUGGUCUGAGAGGAUGAUCAGCCACACUGGAACUGAGACACGGUCCAGACGCCUACGGGAGGCAGCAGUGGGGAAUAUUGGACAAUGGGCGCAAGCCUGAUCCAGCCAUACCGCGUGGGUGAAGAAGGCCUUCGGGUUGUAAAGCCCUUUUGUUGGGAAAGAAAAGCAGCAGGUUAAUACCCCGCUGUUCUGACGGUACCCAAAGAAUAAGCACCGGCUAACUUCGU
rnacentral:rRNA from 1 species